rnacentral:rRNA from 1 species
CAAUAGCGUAUAUUAAAGUUGUUGCAGUUAAAAAGCUCGUAGUUGGAUUUCUGGUGGGAGCGAUCGGUCUGGCGCUUAGCGCGAGUACUUGCAUCGUCUCCGGCCAUCCUUGGGGAGAGUCUGUCUGGCAUUAGGUUGUCGGGCAGAGGAUCUUCAUCGUUUACUGUGAAAAAAUUAGAGUGUUCAAAGCAGGCUUAUGCCGUUGAAUAUAUUAGCAUGGAAUAAUAAGAUAGGACUUUGGUACUAUUUUGUUGGUUUGCGCACCAAAGUAAUGAUUAAUAGGGACAGUUGGGGGUAUUCGUAUUCCGCUGUCAGAGGUGAAAUUCUUGGAUUUACGGAAGACGAACUACUGCGAAAGCAUUUACCAAGGAUGUUUUCAUUAA